rnacentral:lncRNA from 1 species
AUCGCCACGGUGACUUGCAAGCAACUCACUGCACUUAGGCACUGGACUACCUGAAUUUCUAAUUCAGUGAUGGAAGGCUGCUGGGUGUAGUCAAGUACUUGACUUGUCGGUGCGUGUGUCAAGAUGGGAUUGAUCACUUCAAUUUAGGAGCUGUGUACAGUCGUGUUUCAAUUUAGCAAAACCUUGGCCAUGGUAGUCCUUGUGAGGAGUCACAGGACUGUUUGAGUUGAGCACGAUUCGGAUGAUCUAAUCAGGGUUGACAGUUUAACCCUGAGUCGUCCUAAACACAAAGGUCAAAAGGAUGAAUUAUACAGUAACCAUAUUCACGUAGGUUCUGAGUAUUGCGAUUGUGACUAUUUAACCUAUCCGAUCAUCGGGUACCAUUGCUAGACAGUCACUUCGAUUAGUACAGAAACUGGUUCCUGUGCUACCGACUUAGGUUCGAACCUCCGGGGUCACACACAUUAGAGGUUCCUAUCUGAUCUGAUGGCUGAUGAAGAGUCCUAAUAUUCGUGGACUAUGAGUCUUAUGUGUCUGGGACUCUAUGAUCAAGAAUUAGGAUUCUCUGAUCAUGAGUCCCACACAUUUUGGGUACCGGGGUCAAGAGUCCCACUGGUUUGGGACUCUUCAAUCAGGAUUACAUAUCGAUGAAUUCUGAUGCCCGAUUACCCAUCAGAUUUGGACUCAAUAUUUAUGAGAGGUUUAAUUAGUGAUUUGAUCACUAAUUAACUCAAU